AAAGCGUCGGCCAGGCCAGGCGGCCAGGCCAGGCGGAGGAGCGCCGGAGCCGGCGGUAUCCAAGCGAGUGGGAAAACUGGAGCAGCGGAGCCGCGGCAGGGAAAUGCACCUAGCUUUCAGUCUGGCUCCGCUUGAUGGAAAACUCAGAGCUCGAGGAGGCGACCCUGACUCGACCCGGCAGAAAAGAGGAGGUUUCCAUGUCGCUCAGGCUGGCCCCCAUACUAUAUAGCUUUAAAAUGCUGACCCUCCAGUUUCCACCUCCUAAGUGCUAGGAUUACAGCCUGUAGGGUCCAUUAAUGCAUUCCACAUACUCCUGAGUGUGGAGCCAUCUGGUGGGGCAUGGCCAUCUUACAAGGGAGAACACUCUUAAAGAAAGCUGACUCUUCUCCACUAGCGACUGUCAACUAUGAAUACAUCCUCAGCUAGCGGUGAGGGCUGUGAGCCUCUCCUGGGUCCAUGCUGGAAUGCUGGCUCUCCUGGGUCCAUGCUGGAAUGCUGGCUCUCCUGGGUCCAUGCUGGAAUGCUGGCUCUCCUGGGUCCAUGCUGGAAUGCUGGCUCUCCUGGGUCCAUGCUGGAAUGCUGGCUGGCUGGUCUUGUGCUGGGCAGAGCUGCUGUGAGUUUGAGUUCCAGAGGAUAGAGGAUACCAGUCUAUCACGGAGCUGAAACAGCAGACACAGCAGCAGGAACUGGACGCUGAGAACGGAUAUCCUUUACCAUAAGCACAGAGCAGAAAGAGCCAGCUGCAAGCGGCAGCGGAGAAAUAACCUAUCAGAUGGUGCUGAAACCCGGGAGAAGUUAAGUCCCCAGCGCGAUGGUUUUGGUCUUUCCUGGCCACGUGGGAACCACUUCUGUCCCUCUCUCUUCUCUGCUGGAUACAUCAUUUCUUCGGACUCACGAGUACCCAUCCCUAGAUAUCCUGACUAUCCAGGUCCAGGACCCUCUGAGCUCUUUGCUGAGUUGCGGCCCCGACAGAGUUAGCCCCAUCCGAACAAAGACCAGGCCUUUGUUUUGGGGGAACCCCUGAUAUAGAGACUUCUUAUCUGAGGUUACCGCCCCCACAUAAACCGUUGGGUCGAUCUCAGACUAUACAUUGGGAUGACAAUUCAACAGUAUUGAGAUCUCUGGCAAACGUUGGGAAGAUGGGUGUCACAGGAUCUAAAACAAAAAUGUAUUCCUACGUCCAGUUUUUGGGAAGCUGCGCUCUCCUAAUCUCCCUUCACUGCAUUGAGCACAGGGCUCCAGGAGCCGCCUAGCCACUCCCACCUCUCAUCCCCAUCUCCUUCCCGUCCUCCUGUGGCUCCGUUGUCAGUGGCGGCAGCAGCAGCACCAGCGGUUGUGAUGACUAAGGGUGGCGAGGCACCCAUGUUCCCAGAAGUAAUUCCAAAUAAACUCCUUUGUUCACCAAGG
ensembl:antisense Vax2os ventral anterior homeobox 2, opposite strand